rnacentral:rRNA from 1 species
AUAACUCCGGGAAACUGGGGAUAACUCCGGAUAACGCACAUAUGCUGGAAUGCUUUAUGCGUAAAAUGGAUUCGUCUGCCCAAGGAUGGGUCUGCGGCCUAUCAGGUAGUAGUGGGUGUAAUGUACCUACUAGCCAACAACGGGUACGGGUUGUGAGAGCAAGAGCCCGGAGAUGGAUUCUGAGACAUGAAUCCAGGCCCUACGGGGCGCAGCAGGCGCGAAAACUUUACAAUGCGGGAAACCGUGAUAAGGGGACACCGAGUGCCAGCAUCAUAUGCUGGCUGUCCAGGUGUGUAAACUACACCUGUUAGCAAGGGCCGGGCAAGACCGGUGCCAGCCGCCGCGGUAACACCGGCGGCCCGAGUGGUGAUCGUGAUUAUUGGGUCUAAAGGGUCCGUAGCCGGUUUGGUCAGUCCUCCGGGAAAUCUGAUAGCUCAACUAUUAGGCUUUCGGGGGAUACUGCCAGGCUUGGAACCGGGAGAGGUAAGAGGUACUACAGGGGUAGGAGUGAAAUCUUGUAAUCCCUGUGGGACCACCUGUGGCGAAGGCGUCUUACCAGAACGGGUUCGACGGUGAGGGACGAAAGCUGGGGGCACGAACCGGAUUAGAUACCCGGGUAGUCCCAGCCGUAAACGAUGCUCGCUAGGUGUCAGGCAUGGCGCGACCGUGUCUGGUGCCGCAGGGAAGCCGUGAAGCGAGCCACCUGGGAAGUACGGCCGCAAGGCUGAAACUUAAAGGAAUUGGCGGGGGAGCACAA